UACGAAGGGGACUAGCGUUGUUCGGAAUCACUAGGCGUAAAGCGCACGUAGGCGGCUUUCUAAGUCAGGGGUGAAAUCCUGGAGCUCAACUCCAGAACUGCCUUUGAUACUGGAGAGCUUGAGUCCGGGAGAGGUGAGUGGAACUGCGAGUGUAGAGGUGAAAUUCGUAGAUAUUCGCAAGAACACCAGUGGCGAAGGCGGCUCACUGGCCCGGUACUGACGCUGAGGUGCGAAAGCGUGGGGAGCAAACAGG
rnacentral:rRNA from 1 species